UGGUACCUCAGAGCACAUCCUCACAUUA
rnacentral:piRNA from 1 species